rnacentral:tRNA from 1 species
GGUUGUGUGUCCGAGUGGUCUAAGGAGUGUGAUUCGAAAUCACAUCCUCUUUGAGGGCGCAGGUUCGAAUCCUGCCGCAAUCG